AUAUUGCACAAUGGGGGCAACCCUGAUCCAGCCAUGCCGCGUGUGUGAAGAAGGUCUUCGGAUUGUAAAGCACUUUAAGUUGGGAGGAGGUGCCUCAGAUUAAUACCCUGAAGUUUUGACGUUACUAACAGAAUAAGCACCGGCUAAUUCUGUGCCAGCAGCCGCGGUAAUACAGAGGGUGCAAGCGUUAAUCGGAAUUACUGGGAGUAAAGCGCGCGUAGGUGGUUCAGUAAGAUGGGUGUGAAAUCCGCGGGCUUAACCUGGGAACUGCUUUCAUAACUGCUGAGCUAGAGUACGGUAGAGGGUAGUGGAAUUUCCUGUGUAGCGGUGAAAUGCGUAGAUAUAGGAAGGAACACCAGUGGCGAAGGCGACUACCUGGACUGAUACUGACACUGAGGUGCGAAAGCGUGGGGAGCAAAC
rnacentral:rRNA from 1 species